rnacentral:rRNA from 1 species
AGAGCGAACGCUGGCGGCGUGCUUAACACAUGCAAGUCGAGGGAGAACGGAAGGCUUCGGCCUUCUUAGUAAACCGGCGCACGGGUGAGUAACACGUAGGUGACCUACCUCCGAGAUCGGGAUAACCUGUCGAAAGAUAGGCUAAUACCGGAUAAGACCACGAUGGCUUCGGCCACUGCGGUCAAAGAUGGCCUCUAUUUAUAAGCUAUCACUUGGGGAUGGGCCUGCGCACCAUUAGCUAGUUGGUGAGGUAACGGCUCACCAAGGCUACGAUGGUUAGUUGGUCUGAGAGGAUGACCAGCCACACUGGGACUGAGACACGGCCCAGACUCCUACGGGA